AGGGGUGUAGCUCAAUGGGAGAGCACUUGCCUAGCAUGCAUGAAGCCCUGGGUUUCAUCCCUG
rnacentral:tRNA from 1 species